rnacentral:rRNA from 1 species
GAACGAUGAAGCUGGGUGCUUGCACCUGGUGGAUUAGUGGCGAACGGGUGAGUAACACGUGAGUAACCUGCCCUCUACUCUGGGAUAAGCGCUGGAAACGGUGUCUAAUACUGGAUACGACCUUGAACCGCAUGGUUUCUUGGUGGAAAGUUUUUUCGGUAGGGGAUGGACUCGCGGCCUAUCAGCUUGAUGGUGAGGUAAUGGCUCACCAUGGCGACGACGGGUAGCCGGCCUGAGAGGGUGACCGGCCACACUGGGACUGAGACACGGCCCAGACUCCUACGGGAGGCAGCAGUGGGGAAUAUUGCACAAUGGGCGAAAGCCUGAUGCAGCAACGCCGCGUGAGGGAUGACGGCCUUCGGGUUGUAAACCUCUUUUAGUAGGGAAGAAGCUUUUGUGACGGUACCUACAGAAAAAGCACCGGCUAACUACGUGCCAGCAGCCGCGGUAAUACGUAGGGUGCAAGCGUUGUCCGGAAUUAUUGGGCGUAAAGAGCUCGUAGGCGGUUUGUCGCGUCUGCUGUGAAAUCCUAAGGCUCAACCUUAGACUUGCAGUGGGUACGGGCAGGCUUGAGUGCGGUAGGGGAGAUUGGAAUUCCUGGUGUAGCGGUGGAAUGCGCAGAUAUCAGGAAGAACACCG